UACGGAGGGUGCAAGCGUUAUCCGGAUUUACUGGGCGUAAAGGGCGCGUAGGCGGCAAUUCAAGUCAUCUGUGAAAUCUCCGGGCUUAACUCGGAACGGUCAGAUGAUACUGCUUUGCUAGAGUGCGGAAGGGGCAAUCGGAAUUCUCGGUGUAGCGGUGAAAUGCGUAGAUAUCGAGAGGAACACCAGAGGUGAAGACGGGUUGCUGGGCCGACACUGACGCUGAGGCGCGAAAGCCAGGGGAGCAAACGGG
rnacentral:rRNA from 1 species